UAGAGAUUGAUAGCAGAUAUAAAUCCCUCCAUUCCUUUUGAAGAAGAUAAAAACUUAUUUUUAAAGAUUUUGAAAGCCGUGAUUCGUUGCAAGCUUCUUUCUGUGGCUCUCGAAUAUGGUGAUAAAUACUUUUUUAUACCAGCGUUGAACCGCCGGCGUGGAACUUGCGAAUAAUUUAGCAAAAGAAGUCAUAUCUUUAUACGCGCAAAUCGCUCGGAGCCGGCUCUGUAAAUUUCCUUUGGCUAGUGUAACUGUUGAUGCUUGGGAGUGUCAGCUUUACUACCACACUCUUUACGCAGUGCAAGUGAUAACACUUGACAGAGGCACCACUCACGGUCUUCUCUCUCACUCUGAUAAUGACGUCGGUACACUUGACUCGCUUCCGCUCCAUAUAGAUUUAGCACUUUUAAAAAAAUGGGCCGUAGCUUUAAAGAAUAGUCGAGGAAUCCUACUGGAAAGAGUGUUGCAUAUCCUUCUCCAAUCUUGCCCGGCAGCGAGUAUUUUGAGAGGUAAAUAUAAAGAGGGUGCU